AGUGAACGCUGGCGGUGGGCCUAACACAUGCAAGUCGAACGGCAGCACAGUGAGAUCUUGCUCUUACGGGUGGCGGGUGGCGUGCGGGUGAGGAAUGCAUCGUAAUCUUCUUUUUCGUGUGGGUUCACGUAGGUGGGCUUACUCUCAUACCGCAUACGAUGUUCGGGGGAGGGCGGUGGAUCGUCGCGGCUGUCGCGGUUGGAUUAGCCGCUGUCGGAUUAGAUAGUGGGGGGGGUAAUGGCCCAGCAUGUCGACGAUCCGUAGCCGGUCUGAGAGGAUGGUAAGCCACACUGGAACGGAGACAAGGACAAGACGACUAAGGGAGGCAGCAGAGGGGAAUAUUGGACAAUGGGGGGAAGCCUGACACAGCGAGACCGAGUGGGUGAAGAAGGCCUUCGGGUUGUAAAGCCCGUUUGUUGGGAAAGAAAAGCAGCAGGUUAAGACGCAGCUGUUCUGACGGUACCCAAAGAAGAAGCACCGGCUAACUUCGUG
rnacentral:rRNA from 1 species